rnacentral:tRNA from 1 species
GGUUCCAUAGUGUAGCGGUUAGCACAUCUGCUUUACAGGCAGAAGGUCCUGGGUUCGCGCCCAAGUGGAGCCA